AGGGCGGCGGCGUUGACACGGGGUGCUGCGGCGGAUCUCACGGUGGGGCCCGGUUACCAUGGAGACGCGGGGGUUGGUGUGGUCCCUUUCCGUCAGCCUUGCGUGGUCCGUCCUGCCCCGUCGGUCAGAACCUUCUAGUGACACCCGUCCGUAUAUUCUGAAGGCUGUCAUUGAAUUUGCUUAUAUUUGAAAGUUAAAGGAGUUGCUGCUUCCCCUUGAAGACAGGCUCAUCAGUCACUGAUGGGGAAGAAACCUCAGGUAUUUCUAACAGUCCAUGGUUUGUUAGAUGUGCAACCCUCACAAGAUCACCGUAGCAGAAACUUUCAGGCUAACUUUUGAAAGCCUGAUUAAUACAAAUAUCAUCUUGGAUUCUGAGGGCCUAUUUCUAAGGGCAGAAGACCAGAUACAUGGGCUACUCGUGGUCCUUGCCCACCAGAGUAAGUCUGCCUCUACUUCUGAUCUACAUGUUUAAUUGUGUAUUAUUAACACAGUGUAUUUGUAUUAAAAUGGAACUCAGUG